ACUAGCUAAUGGGCCAAGCCCACACUAACAUCUUUAUUCCCCCUCAAACUCACAAUGCAAUUGUAAUAAACAUUGACAGUUUGUCACACAAGAACCGAAAUUGAGACACCGACUAAGCCUUGGUAAAAAUUAAAAACAUUUGUAAUCUGCAAAGUUGAUGGAACAAAGGGAAACGAGAUGGUUCCAAGCUAAAGAUGAUGAUGAGUAAAGUGAUAAUCAAUCUUAAUAUGUUUUGUCUGCUCAUGAAAAACAUAGUUCUUUGCGAUCUGCAUGGCAUUUUGGUUAUCACGAUGCAAUGAGGUAGGCUGAGAGAUAGUGACCCCCAUAUCACUAAGGAGCGAUCAUAACCAAACAAUCUCGCAUAUAGCCAUAGUCGUAGCAUGAUACUCAGCCUCAGUAGAAGAUCCGGAAACAACAUCUUGCUUCUUACUUUUCCAUGAAAUUAAAGAAUCACCAAGGAAAUUGUGACAACCGGCAAAAAUAAGGGUAAUUAUGUACAACUUAAUUAUACAUUUAACUGCGUUCGUUACGACUUAAUUAAUGUGUGAUUAGGUCAUGUAAAGUCUAGCAAUCAUAGGACAUGGUUAAAUAUGUCAAACAAUAUUAAUACAAUCGCCGCGUCGCGAGAAAACUACAAACUAUGUCCAAAUAUGUUGGCAAAAUGCUGAAAACACUAUUCACCAGAACACACUAUUCAUGCCAACUAGUUCCGAAAACUGUCCGAACAAGCGAUGAAUGGCAUGAAAGCAUUUUAUAGUUGAAAUGCAAAUAAAAAUCCCUAAUUAGGGACACCAACUACUAAAAUGCUUAAACUUUCUGAAAAAUGCACCUAAACAUAAAGUGUCCGAUCCGCGCCAAACUGUAACGAAAAUAAAUUGUCCGCAACAUUGAAAUACAUCAUUCUAAUAUCAGUAGCACUCGUAAAUUAAUAUUUUACACCUUAAGUAAGCUUUGGGAUAUCCGAAACACAAGCUACCGGCACAACGUCGCUAUUUGCACAACUUGUCCUUUUUUUAUCCGACGGACUAGUAAACAAUAUUUUUAUCACCCUAACGCCUAAACGAAGCAUCUAGCGAACUAGUUAAUGACAGUUUGGCGUCGUAGACGCCUUGAAUAGACGUCAUAACCUUCGACGGUAAAUUAAAACCAUCGCUCCCGGUAUUAAACUACAAUUUUCGUUUAUCACCCGAUAUCGAAUCGGCGAGCGAACUAGUGGUAUUUUUACCAUCUAAAAUUUAUACCCACUAAACUAGUAAACUAAUUAGGUUUUAUUUAUAAUCCUAAACUAUAUUUAAUACCCUAAUUAACCUAAUUAUCUCUAAUGGCUAAAACAUCUACCAUAAUUAACCAAUUUUCAUCACAUGUUGGUUAUGUUAAAAAAAUAAUAAUAAAAUCUUACACCCCCAUACCCAAAUCGGCCAACUCCAUCCCCCAUGUGAUCCUACAACCUACAUGUAGUAUUGAUGUAAGAGUAUGGUCUUGAUUUAUUUUAUUUGACUAAAGGAAGUUUACAUAUCAUAAUUUACCAAAAUUCCUCAUUAUAUAUUAUAUAAUACUCUAAUUUUCAACAUUUGUGAGCAAUAGGAGUUGUACCAUGUGCUUCGUUUCUUUAUGUGUAUAUGGUUGUUGUAUGUGUUGCAUUAGGGAGUUGUAAGGUGGUAUUUUCUGAAACCAUUUGCUUUGCUGGUAUUCUGUUGUGAGUUUAAGAACCAGGUCGUGGCUUACAUUGUACCAUUCCUCAUAAUAAUACUUCCAUCACUGGUUUUACCCCAAAGAGAUGCACAUUUGAAGAGAGACUCAGAGGAAGGUAUAGAGACAUUGAGAGAGAGAGAGAGAGAGAGAAAGCGGUGUAUAGAGAGACCGAUGAAAGGAAUCCGACCACCCCAAUCGAUGAAGGGGAUGAUGGCGACGUCUUAAGGCUGAGUUCUCCGCCGACUUCAGCAAACACAUUUUUUGGCAGAGAGCAUACCAGAUUGGAUAUUGUGUGCCACUGAUUUGUACUCGAACCCUAAUUUCAUAAGGUAAUCUUUUCCCCAUUUCCUCUCCUCUCAUGGUACCAUCUUUGUUUUCAUCUCUCUUUCUAUCUCUAAAAUAUCGAAACCUCAUAUGAAAUCUGAAGUAAGAUAACGUGGAUAUGGCUGUUACAUAGGGUUUAGACUGGGAUUUCUCUCAGGUUUUUGACUAAAUUGUUGCUGGUGAAGAGGUUUAGGAAGUCUUGCGCACAGGUUAGAAGUUUAUCUGAGCAAAGAAAAUUUAAAGGAGGUGCAUUUUAGUAAUAGGUUUUAUAAAAUAAAAUACAUGUAAUCUUACUUAGAAAUGUAUUUAUUCAUUGCACCAAACAUGAACUUAUGUUGACCGUUUCUGUUUGACAAAUUUGAAGUUCAAAAGAUUUUGAACAAAAAACAAUCAACCUGCUUUGUUUAUUCUUGGCCAUUACUGUUAAUUGAGGCGAGUAUUGUUUUUAUUUUAA